rnacentral:lncRNA from 1 species
UUAUACGUGCAGCACCCUUUUAUCUUUCGGCAUAGACCCUUCUUCCUCCUUGCGAUGCAAAGGCAAUGUCAGGGAGUCCGACUCUUCAAUCGAAAAAAAGACGGUCGUGUGCGAGUCGGCUGGGAAAACACAAGCUUAACACGUCUUUCUUUAUCUUUUUCAUAUCUGAAUGUCUUUGUCGAGUUGGUUGGCAUCAUUCGCUCCUUUCUGUCUUUUCAUUGUCCGCCUCCGCCCGAACAGAUACGCACUAACCCACCUGAAAUAAGGUAAAAGCCUUCUUUCCAACCCUUUGUACGAGACUCCUUUCUUCGUACAAAUGCUCGUAGGCGAAAGAGACCUUCCUUUGCUCCUGUCGGCGCUUCUUCGUACAAAUGCUCGUAUGUGAAAGAGACCUUCCUUUGCUCCUUCUAGCGGCUGGUGAAUCCUACCCAGUAUUGGAAUUGGGUAGGAUAUUUCCUCGGUUUUGGAGAAAGGUUUUAAUGGCGACCAGACUCCUCUUCUCUUGAAGUGUAAUGGUUUGGGGGACGUCGAUUCCCUAGAUUCUGGCUUCCCUUCAACCAGCCACUCAUUUAGUUCCCAAAAUAUAUAGAAUCCAGAAUCCUUUUAAGCGCCUUAUCACGAAAGUGACCAAGCAAGCAGAUGAUGAUGGUUCAGCCGGUAAGCUAGCAAGCUUACGAAAUGAAGGAAGAGGAGACCCUUCUAUUAUAAGUUGAAAGCGAAGUCGAUAGUCCUCGUUGGUAAGCUGGCAAGCUUACGAAAUGAAGGAAGAGGAGACCCUUUUAUUAUAUGUUGAAAGCGAUGUCGAUAGUCCUCGUAUUGGUAAUUACCAAACGCUAAAAGUCUAUAUAAGAUAUAGAAGGCAAAAUAUGAUAAAAUAAAAUAAAUAAAGAAAAAAAAGAAGGCCCUCUAUAUUAUUAUUAAUUAAGGGUGUGUCUAUUUUCUUUCUCUUAACUCAGAAGUUCUUUUUGUUAGUAAGAUAGUAGUGGAUCGAGAAAGCAAAGCUUAAAAGGCGAAAGUGCUCUACCUACUCUCUCUUGUUUCAGGUAUUCCACUCGUUCUCAAAGUAUAUAGCUCUAGUAGUCCUUUCUGCCUAUUACACUCCUUCGCUCUAGUGAUCGCUUCGUAUACUACGCUUCUUAUCCAGCGUAUUGAACUCGUUUAUUCCACUCGCUCCCUAACUCUAAGAACAACUCCUCUUUUUAGAAUUGCGAUCUCACUAAACCCUUGCUUCACCACGCCCAAGCCGGAGGCUAAGCAGAGUAGAAUAAGGUGAAGGUGGAUACCGCUCAUCAAGAGCUUGGUUAAGUGUCCAAGACCGUAUGCCUUGCUGGUUGGAUCUGAAUCUGCUCUAUAGUUAUCUAAUCUCUUUCUUUUUCCUACCUCCCCUACGAAGGGAAGUACAAAGGAAGCUGCUUCGAAGUUGAAGGGGCUCGUCCAUUCACUAUAUGUCUGUAAUCUCAUACAUAAAGAGGAAGAUUUGGUUGGAUCUGAAUCUGCUCUAUUGUUAUCUAAUCUCAUUCUUUUUCCUACCUCCCAUACGAAGGGAAGUACAAAGGAAGCUGCUCCGAAGUUGAAGGGGCUCGUGCAUUCACUAUAUGUCUGUAAUCUCAUACAUAUAGAGGAUGAUUAAAAACUCAUCGAUCUCCUUACCGAUCCGGGAGGGGGGGUCUUCAUUCACUCUUCUCUUACUUUCCCUACUUCUAGAAAAAAAAAAGAAAUGUUGAACAAAAACGAUCUUUCUAAAGUUAAGGCAGCAGAUCGGUCGGCUGCGGGACGGGGCCGGGAGCAGCAGUAGGAGAAGCGAUAAGCCCUUCAAUCUACUCCUCAAAGCAGGAAUGGAGGGCCGCUUUCUUAAUAAUUCAAAUAGAUAGUUCUGCUCACAUCAAGGGAAGCUCUUCAUUAACUGAGAAGCUCAUUGGCUCGCCUUUGACUCUAGCCUCUCAUUUAACUCGCUACUUCGUCAAUUUCUCAGUCCCUCGUGAGUGUGGCACGCACCUCUACAUCUUUUCCUUUUAAUAGUCAAAGGACUGCUGCUCAUAACUACUAGCUAUCCAUCUAGCCCACGAUAGCGAAGGCUCAAAAAAAGGAUUGAAUGAGGUCAUUAACAUUGAAUCAUCAUAAGGAAGUCAAGUAGUCUGUGACUGACUAGCUGACGCUUCUGCCUCUCCACUUUCCACGAGUAAUAAAUGUAACGAUACCUAUGAGAACUAGACAGCUAGAGCGAAAUACUUGUAGCGAGUAAAGAACGAUUUCACAAAGUUUAUAAUAAAAUAGUACGAGUUGUAAAAGCGUAAGAGCUAUAUAGAACCACCUUUGGCCGGUCUCACAUCUUCCCAUCCUCUACUUAGUUGUCUCAAUUACAUCGAUCCUGAACUACGUCCAUCCAAGUAUAAUGCGUAAGAGCUAUAUAGAACGACCUUUGGCCGGUCUCACAUCUUCCCAUCCUCUACUAAGUUGUCUCAAUUACAUCAAUCCCAAACUACGUCCAUCCAAGUAUUCUUGCCGUUACUCUUCCCGAGUGCUAGGUUCAAGCAACUUCAGACCACUUCGUCCCUUUCACUCUUCAACCUGAUCCUACAUUCAUAGCUUGAAAAAGCAAAAGAGGGUCACCGUCACCUCUCUCAAUGACUAUUCUUAAGCUUCCUUUCUUUGGGAGUAAGAUCUCUUUCCUAGGAGCUCAUAGAAAGAUAGCGAAGUCAGAUAGUUCUUUCUUGCUUUCCUUCUAUCAUUCUUUCCCUUUCAAAGCUUGUGCUUUGGUUCAGAUCACUGCUUACUUACUUGACUUGCCCCCUUUUUUAAAGCAAAGAGUAUGUUGUGCAAGCAAGCGAAGUGGAAUCUAUUAGAAUAGAAAAUAGUGCAGCUACAAAUAAGAAGUCGUUCAAGCAAGCGAAGUGGAAUCUAUUUGAAUAGAAAUAUUGCAACUCGAUUAGUAUAAGAAUAAAGCCAGGAGGUUGGCAGGAAAGGUGACUUUCGUUUCUCUUCCUUUUGAACUUCCUGUAAAGUGGAAGGGUAGGCCUUUGGCACCAGAAAGGUGAGGAUUGAAAUUCGGAGAGUGAAGAGAGGAAGGAACCCUCAUUUUAAUUCCUACGUACUUCUCUUCUCUCAAUCGCUCUUUGGUAUUCGGAAGUGGAAAGCGAACUGUUGGCUGUGGCCGAGAAGAGGGGUUCUGUCUUUCUUCAUUCAAGUAAGAAAAAGAUGGGACGCUCGCAGACCUGUAUGGAAGGAAGAGAAUUAUUAGAACUCUCGUCCACCCCUCUAUUUAUCCUCUGUAGCUGAACUUUCUUACUUAUGCGAUGAGUAGCUUACUAAGUAUUGACAUCGAGUUGGCAGAAAGUACCGAAAGUCGGCUGCCCGCCCUAUAAUCCCGUGUCUCAAACAACCUUUUUCUUGUCAGAAAAUCUCUCUUUUGGCUUUUGAAACUUUGAUUCGUGACAGCUACUCAUACGUUCCAAAGAGACUUCCUUCCCUUACCCUCACAGGCAUCAGGUGCCUAGACUUGCUAGCUAUUCAAUAAGACCGGGGAUUUGUCCAAGUCUUCUUCCUAAUAAGGAUUUUUUCAACCUAUUAUGUGAAGACCUCGUAGGCGAAUACCUGAGAUAUCUUCCUCAAACGGAGGGGGAGGAGGGGUAUGACCAUUACUUUAGCUGAUCUCUUAUCUGGAUUUUUUCAACCUAUUAUGUGAAGACCUCGUAGGUGAAUACUUGAGAUAUCUUCCUCAAACGGAAGGGGAGGAGGGGUAUGACCAUUACUUUAGCUGAUCUCUUAUCUAUCUAAGAAAACAGAUAUGGGAUGCCUAUUGAAUUCUUACUUCUAACAUUGGAUUCUAACAAGGCUAAGAGCAGCGGAUACGGAUAGAAGACCAAGAGCGCUNNNNNNNNNNNNNNNNNNNNNNNNNNNNNNNNNNNNNNAUACGGAUAGAAGACCAAGAGCGCUUAUGUAUCAUCUCCUGUCGAAAAGCGAAAAAACCCCUUCUUCUAUAUGAGACCUAGCUCUUUCCUCCCUUUACUAAAAAUUCUUCUAUUAGAAUUAGUGAAAGCUCAAUCCCAACUCUACUAAGACUGGAUCUUGCAAACAGUGUUCUUCCUAAAAAGCUAGAGCAGAUACCUUUCUUAUAUACUAUACGCAAUUUACCAUUUUCGGAUUAACUUAACUUUAAGAAAGGAUUCUAUAAAAGAAUAAAGAGCCUAUUUUCUUCUUUCUUUCCAAAUGCAAAUACAAUGGGAUGGGCUUCUUUCUAUUUCUGCUACUAUGCCUCCUGUUUACUGUUUAGUUCAGUUACUUUUUUUUCUUGCAAACAAGAAGAGGAAUAAAUAGGCGAUUCGAAUCCCCGUUCUUUUGAUUUCCUCUUGUCUGCUUUCUUGCUCAUGCCAAUGCCUAACAAAAUAGUUAAGAAAUCUGCAUGGGAUUCUGUACCAAGAACAUCGGCUUCUCAUGUCGAUCUUCCGUUCGGCCGAUUGGACAGUGUCAUCUUCGUUUAGUUUACUAUUCAACGUCCCCCAAUCCCUAGUUGUACAGGUACAACCCAGAAGCUUCCUCUUUCAUAUUGAUGAAAGCGCUAGGCACCUCUUAACUGUUCAAAGUCCCCCCCUGGCUUACCCAGCUUUUAAGGUGAGAACAGCGGAUUCAAUAACAAUAGCUGUGGAUUCGAUUCCUAUUCUUAUAUAUUUAACCUAUGCAGCUACUUUUGUCCGUGCAUAUCUUAAAUCAUGCUUUUCACAAGUUCGGUACGCUAGAGGGUGACGAAGGAACACUAGUUCUAUUGGCUCUAAGCCCGCAUUCUUCCUAGCAACCGAGUCGAUGUCAAAGAACCCGAGCGAGGGCCUUCUCUGUGCAUUCAUGUGCAGCUAGGAAACACAAGUUCUAUUGGCUCUAAGCCCACAUUCUUCCUAGCAACCGAGUCGAUGUAAAAGAACCCGAGCGAGGGCCUUCUCUGUGCAUUCAUGUGCAGCUAGGGGAGUUGUAGGACUAAUAAAAUUUCCAAAGCUAUAAGUCCUAGACUAGAAAGGAGAAAUGCUUGGUGUUAAGUCAACUUCACUAGAUGCAGUUGCCCAGAAAUCCAAUGCACUAACUCCUCGACUUAGACGAUAUGCCCUUAGGGAUACGUUAGGAAGUAAUCCCUCUCACUAGUUGCCUUUCAAAUUCAUUUUUACAUUAUCCCAUUUCCACGUGAAAGCAGAUAAGAAGUCUCGUCUUCAUCCUAUUGUGAUGUCAUCUCUAUUAAACCUGCUAUUCCUAUCAUGCUAUUGCUUCUGUCUUCCAACCAUCUAAGACCGGAUUCAAUAGCAGCUCCUGCACCCAUUGAUUUUGCACCUUCUAACAUCUCGAGCUCGGUAUUGUCCUGCUAUUCCUAUCAUGCUAUUGCUUCUAUCUUCCAACCCUCUAAGACCGGAUUCAAUAGCAAUUCCUACACCCAUUGAUUUUGCACCUUCUAACAUCUCGAGCUCGGUAUUGGACCUUAACCCAAUCGUGAGAAAAUGACGAUUCACUAAAAACUUCUCUUUUUGUUUUGACGUUGUCAACAUCCCGAAAGAAAAUUCCUUUGUUAGUGAUUCGGCUUUCUAUCUUAAAAAAGAUAACGAAAUUUCGAAGAAGCUCUUUUAAGAAUAUUUCCCGCACUUCUUCAGUAAAUUUUCCUACUUUAUUAUGCCGAUUCCUCUCUCCGUAUAUUUUAUGUUAGAAGGAAGGAAAAAGCUGACUGGUGCUUUGUUUAUGGACGGGAGCCACUCCUGCUUUUCCGAGUUUGCCUAGGAGCUCCUGUCUUAAAAGACGAAUGCGAAUUAGUAGGGCUGCCCUCAAUAGCUCUUUUUGAAUGGACAUCUGAGAGAGCAUCAAGCCGAGCACAAAACAGAUCUGGGCUGCUAAUAAGGAGGACUGUUAAGCCUUCUAGCAUAGGUGAUGCCUUCCCAAGGUCUGGUCUCUUCGGUACAGGUACGGACUUUGAGAAGACGGCCUUUUUCUUUUACUGUGUGGAAUAAGUUCCCAAGGUCUGGCCUCAUCGGUACAGGUACGGACUUUGAGAAGACGACCUUUUUCUUUUACUCAGUGGAAUAAGAGCGGGUGCCUUUCAUUUAUCAAGACUAUAUAAACCAAAGCAGUCUACGAUUGCCGGGUUUUUUAGGAAUGGAAUUUGUAGGAAGAUUAGCGGAACCGCCAGGAAUUAGUACUGCGUCGAUUGCUAUGUGCUAAAGACUGCGGAAUAAGAGCUCUUAGUCCUUUCGGCACGGCAUAAAAUAAAGGCUGUUCUUGUUGCGGGUUUAUCAGAGCUUGAGAAUCUAGCUAGGGCUAUUUGAACUAAUAAGGAAAAGUAGGCAUGCUAAGUACAUUUUGAUGGCAUUGAAUCGGAAGAUAGCCUAUCUAAGAGAAGAUGAAAUAGCAAGUGCUUGAGAAGAAAAGAAGCUGUGAGGGAAUGCGCUCUGAGUAGGCAUUUAUUUCUUCCCAUAAUUUUUAUUGGCUUAUACCAAAAAGAACAUAACCUGCGAUACAAUAAACAGAAUAAAACCAUAUCGAGGUCCUAAUUGUACGACUUUGGUAUGAUGUCCUUCAAACAUGGAAUCACGUAGAACAUCGCGCCACCAUACGAACAUGGUAUAUAGGAUAAAUAUGAGGCCCAAACUGAGAAGUGUUGCACCCCCUUGAAAUGAGUGCAUGUACAUCACACCUCCUGCGGUUGUUGCCAAAGCUCCGAGUGAACCCGAAAUAGGCCAUGGACUUGGAUCUACCAAAUGAUAAGAAUGCCUCUAAGAUUCAAUCAUAAACUACUUUGCCUAGGUUCUAUGUAAACCCCCCUUCACACCCACCCCCAAAUUAGUAAAGUAAAGAAAGUCACUUUGGGGUCUAAUUUGCUUUCUAUCUGACAGGACAAACAAAGAAAUAGGAAGGGAUGGUUCUUUCAUUCCAUUGAUAGAAGUCUAACUAGAAAAAGACUCUCUCUAUUACUUUGCGAAGAGAAUCGUUGGUUUGACCAACGAACUACGUGGGAAAAUAGACCUUCUUUCUUUGAUUUGAAGCAACAUUUUUUGAAAGCAACAAUUCCAUUCAGUUCGCUUUCGAAAAACUUGCUGGUCGCGGAUUAGUUCGUUUUGCACCGCCAGCGGCCUCAACCCAAAGGCGUACGUUGAUCUCUCUGGUUGAGGCUGCAUUCAUUAUUCAUAUUCAACUUGACACGUGGGAAGGGCUUACUCUACUAGUGGCUCGGCUUGGUCUCGCUCCCUUCCCGCACUAUUCCUCCCCACUAAAAAGAGCGAUUGAGAAUCUCGAGAACCUUUCCGAACGUCUGUCUUCGCGGUGCGAUUGGAAAAGAAAGGAGUAUUUAAUUCUUUUACUGUUUUCCAUUCCACUAUUCUGAUCGAAUUGAUUGCUCUUCCGAACGACCAAGUCAUAAUGAGUUUAAAAACCGAUGCUUCCUUAGCUGUGUGGAACAUGGAUUAGCAUUAUGUCAAUCCUACAAGUGAUGACCCACCCAGGAUUGCUAUGUACAGACUUAGAGAUCAAAUAGGAUAUGUUUCUUUCCAUUCCUCGUGAGCCACUUAUUUCUCCGAAACAAGAGAUUAAAGUCAUCUUCCUCCUUUUUCCAAGGAAGUCGACGACGUUGCACCAUUGAGAUACUUCGAAUAAACUUGAGUACAAAUAGGAUACACCGGUGCUAAAACCUUUUCCCAAGAUAUCUUCCAAAAAGUUGGGGUCGUUGCUCCGGAUCUUGUUCUCCCGGUGUGAAACCAGUUGGUUCCGUAGUUUUAGAAUUCUGCUGAUCACAAGUACUCCAUCUCCAUCAUUGCAUAUAGGAAUAUAGAAAGGAAAGAGGAAAAGGCAUGACCAGAAGAAUGGUGUGAAAUAAGUGAAUUUAUCCAGUUGAGGCAUUCUUGAUUGAUUGAGACAAAACGAUUCCCUCAAUACAACUUAACUCCGUCAAGCCUGUACGAGUAGUGAAGAAGUAUAGAGCACUUUGGUUGGUUGUUGACCAACGGAAAGCAUGGGAGAAAAAAAGAUGGACUAAGACAACAAAAAGGUUCACCCCUCACCUAGUCUCUCCCAUUCCGAAAAUAGGGAGAAAGUCAUGAUAGACGGGGCUAUUUCCCCCUUGAUGCUGUAGUUGAAGUAGCAUUCUCCGAAGAAAUUCUUCAAGUACUGUCUUCAUUGCAGGAUCGCGGGGAUGUGGAUCGCUUAGAUCGGCUCUGUCUAACUGCAAAAUUAUAUACUCUAGUAUUUCUGGCCUUAAGCCUUGUUCCCUAAAAGGGGAUUCGCGUAAAAUUGCAAGAAAUUUGUUGUCCGGUUCCUUGAGAAAGAGAUCAAAAAUUUGAUCCUGAAGAUUCACUUUUAACUCUAAAUCUUUGAUAUCGAACAGCUCAUUAUUUACUACGGAUAGAAAUUAAAUCGGAGUCUGCGUUUCAUUCAACAAGCUUCUCACCAAGGCUUCGUAUCCCCCAGCGUUAAGUUAAGGAGGUAAUUGGUCGAUUAGGCGUGCUUCUAAGAGACGAACUCGCGCAUAGAGGUCCAUCUCCAGACCCUCAAGCUCUGGGAACUGACGACCCCAAAGAAAAUAAGAAUUGGAGAGGGGGGGGGGCACCGGAUUAUCCUGCCUAAUUGAAGUGAAUUUGUAUGGGAUAAUCCUACAAUUAUAGAAGUAGUAGAAUUUGACGAAUUCUUUUCUCCACUUGACGAAGGGGAGUCAAAAAAAUGCGAAAAAAAGAGCAAAAUGUCUAUAUGACCAUGACCCUUUCUUAAUAAGUAAGAAAUUAGCAGCAGAUAGAGUAUCCGUAUUAAAAUAUGUAUUAAAAAUCUUACUACUCGGGAUAGUAAAUAAGAAAGUUUCAUCCAAAAAAGCAUUUGACCUAAAGUUAAAGUACCAUCCCGUAUUAAAAUAGGUAUUAAAAAUCUUACUACUCGGGAUACUAAAUAAGAAAGUUUCAUCCAAAAAAGCAUUUGACCUAAAGUUAAAGUACCAUAUCUUGUAAAACUUCCCUUCCAUAUAGAUCGUCGUGGCAUGAACAAAUUUCUNNNNNNNNNNNNNNNNNNNNNNNNNNNNNNNNNNNNNNNNNNNNNNNNNNNNNNNNNNNNNNNNNNNNNNNNNNNNNNNNNNNNNNNNUAGCGCCCAGAGCAAGCGCCCUUCCCUUCCAUGUAGAUCGUCAUGGCAUGAACUAAUUUCUUCGCUUCGAUUCCGCCCCUAAAGCUAUCUCCUAUUCCUCCUCCUUCUCCGUUAGGAUAAUCUCCUCCUUGGUCCUUUUUACAUAACACUCUCGGCCGCCCAAUAGGGCUGGCUAUCUUUCUCUUUAUACGCAAUAUCUUGGAAGGCAAAGAAAAACAUCUACCUUGGAACCGUCAUUGACUGAUAUAUUCAUUGCAUGGAAUGCCACACUCAGCGACUGGGGACCCGGUCUUCAUUAGCAAUUUAUGGCAUGAGCUCUUUCGUUUACAAGGGACACAAUUUAACAUGAGUACUGCUUUACACUCUUUUCCCGGGUGGGGCUUCUUAUACCUAAACGCAGCAGGCCCCGCGAGUAGUCGAACAAAUGAGAGGUUGUCGACGAAGGGGUCAAAGGUUGCGCUUGCGAUAAUCCGAAGGUUGCGCAAGACCCCUUCAACCUCGCCCGCGUGUUAGCUUGCUUGUACUAUCGCUCGCCUGCCUGACCUGCUUUCUGGCUAGCUUCUUUAACAAGACCCCUUCAACCCUGCCCGCGUGUUAGCUUGCUUGUGCUAUCGCUCGCCUGCCUGACCUGCUUUCUGGUUAGCUUCUUUAAGGCAAGCGCUACCAGAACCUAGCUAGCGCUAAUCUUUCUAACGUCGUCUGAAUUGCCUUGCAAGCGCUACAUCUAUAUGGCAAGCCCACGUCGCCGUCGUCUCCCAUUGUAGUCGCCUUCUUCAUAUGGCAAGCGCUACCCGUCGCAUGCACUACAUUGUCUGACGAUAACCUUGCCUGACCGCUUCCGCUCUGACUGAGCUGGCCGUCGCACCUGACUUCUAUAUCCCAUUAUCCAUUGAUCUCCUUCCUUAUGGUUGCCGGUCUAAGCAGAAGGUUGCUAAGUCAGAUGUCUGGUGAACACAUACGUAAUGAGUAUGGGUCUAGUAUGUGUACUAGUAAGGACGCGAGGUACUGAGUUGAGCGUCGAAAAGGCAAGUAGUGGAUCUUUAUUAUCGAAUGAUAUGGGAGACAGUCAAAGCAUCAGUCUCAACAUCAACAGAAGAAAAGGAGUGACCGACCACCGUUCAAGAGAGAUCCCGAAGGCUUGAACUUUUUGCUAGCUUUGAAAGAUGGGCGGAAGGAAAGAGGAAGACCAAACAAAGUCGCAGUCAAAGCAAAGAAAAAGAUGCCAAAAAAGAUUCGCUUAAGCUUCUAGCUCGCUUAGUUUAGUGUAGGUUGCUUGCAAGACUUUUGAUAGCUGGCUCGGCCGAACGGAACCAACAAUCUAGAUAGAUGGUUCGUUCACUCCCUAUUCUUUGAGAGGUUGCUUGCGUUCGAUAGCUGGCUCAACCGAACGGAAUCGCUGAUCUAGAUAUAAGGGUCGUACACUCCCUAUUCUUUGAGAGGUUGCUUGCGACGGUAGCAUUAGCUAGGCCAUCAAGGCAGGUCGAACAAGUCAGUCCUAGGGUGAAGAUCAUCGGAUGAGAAAAUGGAUUGAGCUGGCUAAUUACAUUGAUGACCCGGUGUAGAAUGGGAACAGAGAGUCGCUCCUAUAAACGAAUGAAUGGGACUCCUGGUCCUGAUCGAACCAGAGAUUCCGACAACCCGGGGAAUCGGCAGAAAGAGAUGGGUCGGAUACUGGAAUCUGCCCAAAAGUCCUGACUUUUUCGAGGCAGGGCUUCGACCCGUAUCUGGCCAACUCCUCGAACUGCUGGGUGCGGCAUAUUCAUGGACUGGCAAAUCCCAAAAGUCUUGACUUUUUCGAGGCAGCGCAUCGACCCGUAUCUGGCCAACUCCUCGAACUGCUGGGUGCGGUAUAUUCAUGGACUGGCAAAGCUAACUCUCAAUUUGAUCAGGAGAGCCUAGAGAGCUCUCUAUCUUUCCCCAAAUUCCGACUAGCGCGGUUCUUUUUCUCGACCAAUUUGAAUUCCAUUUCAUUUUUUAUUUUAAGUGUUGUAGAGUAGUAAACUCUCAAUUUGAUCAGGAGAGCCUAGAGAGCUCUCUAUCUUUCCCCAAAUUCCGACUAGCGCGGUUCUUUUUCUCGACCAAUUUGAAUUCCAUUUCAUUUUUUAUAUUAAGUGUUGUAGAGUAGUAAGUAGCUAGGCAAAUUCAACGCAUGCUGCGUUGAGAAUCUCCAAAGAAAUUAGAAGCGCCUAUGAUAGCGUAUGAUUAUUCCCAUUUGUGAUCGACGUUUUCUUGCAAGAGGUGGCGAUCGGCAGUGUUCCAAAGCGCCACAAUGACGUGCGUUAGAGCAUUAUGGCAAACAAUCCCAGCACCUGUAGUUAUGGGGAUCGCCUUCGGCUUGCUAUACUCUUUCCCUAACGCAUGCUGGUUACCAUAAAGACACCGAGGGAUAUCGCAUGCGCUAGUUUCGGGGAUGUUGUUUACACUACUAUUGGUAACAACUCAAAGUGCCGGAACGACUCUAGUGGUGCAAGCGAAGGUUUCAGUCUUGUCGAGCGAAGCAACCACUAGUCGCCCUUUGGUUACCAUAAAGACAUCGAGGGAUAUCGCAUGCGCUAGUUUCUGGGAUGUUGUUUACACUACCAUUGGUAAAUACUCAAAGUGCCGGAACGACUCUAGUGGUGCAAGCGAAGGUUUCAGCCUUGUCGAGCGAAGCAACCACUAGUCGCCCUUAGUGCUCCAAAACACCCUUUCGCUUGCGUGAGCAACGGCCCCUAGCGCCCAGAGCAAGCGCCUUUAGUGUUCCCGACCGCCUGCCUUUCGGCCUUAGCGUUCCAAACAACCAGUAGUGUGACCGAUCUGUGUUCAAAACAACCGAUGACGCUAGCGACGACUCGUGGGGCCCCCUAACGCCGAACAAAAAGGACUAGGAAAACCGAUGACGCUAGCGACAACUCGUGGGGCCCCCUAACGCCGAAAUAAAGGACUAGUGCUAUAACGAGUUGUGGUGUUACGGAACAACUACCCGACGCGUGGUAAUAAGGACAACACAAGUAGGUUGACAGUAGCGUUACGACGACUGGUUCUCGUAGUUGUAUUGCCCUAACUCAACGACUCAAACAACUACGAGUGCUCCCAAGAAGAUGAGACGCAUGCGCUAUACCGUCAAGUAUUGCUUGCGAAGCAACCGCAACUUGUUGUAGGUCCUCUCCAACCAUUACAGUCGAGUAGCUUUCACUCCUUCGCUUGAAAUGUGCAGUUUCUUUACCUAACGCAUGGCUUCCCUAACGCCAAUAGUCGCAUGAGUUCUCCUAGGCCAUAACCCAUGCGUUGAAAGAAACCGCAUGAUGCGUUCCGGAGUUGCCGUAGUUCCGUUACCGCCUUGUCGUCUUGGGUUGGGAAGGAUACGACAGGCUCAAUUCAAGGACACUCAAUUCACCCCCUUGUCGUCUUGGGUUGGGAAGGAUACGAUAGGCUCAAUUCAAGGACACUCAAUUUCAAGCUCAAUUUCAUGCUUUCGAAGCUCUGACACUUUCUGUCGCAUUUGUUCUCUCUUUUGUUUACCUUUCAUUUUCACUUUCUUUGUAUAGAAUGUAGUGCCCAUCAGUUUAAAGGAAGGGGUGAAGUCUCGGGAUCUGCAUCGACUGGAUAAAUAGUUUCCACUGAUGGGGAGGUUCUUUAACUGGCUAAUUGACUUAGUGAAUCGGCUAUGAUGCUCUUUUUGUCUGUGGGAUCAACUCCACCUUAGAGAUCUUCCAGAUCCGCAACUACAAGCUCUCGAGUGGGAACAGGAUCUCCUACUGCUGAUAGGCAUGCAAUCGAAGAAUCUGGCGAGAUAUAGAGAGGAUAUUCUCGAACUGGACCGCAUCUCCAUUUGCACCUGGAUAAUGUGCUGCCCUUUUCUUUUCUUCCAAACUCGGUCGAAUAAGUCGUAAACCUUUUUGGUGGAUCGACGAGAGUGCGCCUAGCCAGGAGUGUGGUUGGUUUCACCUCCCGUGCGCUAGCUCUGCCUUUGCCGGACGGGUAUACAUUUCAUCCAUAUCGCCAGCCUCACAGGGACGGAGAUGCUUAUGUUUAUAUAUCACGGCUUCCUAAGAUGCUAACACAGGGGCUACUAUUGCUACGGGAGCUUAGUGGUAGAGCAAGAAGAGAGGAGAUGGAGAUAUAGGCCAGCUAAAUGCCCUCAAAUCCGUCUACGAAAACGUGCUGGUACACGACAUGUAAGUACAACUAACCUUAAACGAGGUGCUUUCUCGGGCUCGGGAAUGAGUGGUGAACCAGGAAUCGACCCUAUGAAUAGCUCCUUACCUUAGUCAUAGUUAGGUUAGGCCUACUUCUUUCAAAACAAAAAGGGGAAUGAAUAGCCAAAGCCCCUUCUAUGAAGUCAAGCAACCGAACCUCUCGGGUGACCUUCCCCUCCUUUCCGCCUUCGUAUACUUCUUUCAAAAUAAAAAGGGAAUGAAUAACCAAAGCGCCUUCUAUGAAGUCAAGCAACCGAACCUCUCGGGUGACCUUCCCCUCCUUUCCGCCUUCGUACGACUAGUCUGAUUUUCUUUAUUCCUUCCUUGUCGUGAAUCGCUCCUUCCCACCUUACAGAGAGGGAUGUCCCUGCCCCACCCCAGGCAGGAGAAGGGCUUAUACUGCUCGCCUGUCGCUGUCGAGUUGCUCUGUGCUUGCUCAUUCUAGCUAGUCGUGACGACCUCUCAUUAUUCUUUUUUCCAGUCGCCUUCUUCCUUUGUCUUUUCCUUAUGGCACGACUGAGCUCGUGUCCGUCUCAGUCUCUGAUUAGCGAGUUCAGUUGCUUGCUGGGCGGUAUGCUUCUUCCCACCUUACAGAGAGGGAUGUCCCUGCCCCACCCCAGGCAGGAGAAGGGCUUAUACUUCUCGCCUGUCACUGUCGAGUUGCUCUGUGCUUGCUCAUUCUAGCUAGUCGUGACGACCUCUCAUUAUUCUUUUUUCCAGUCGCCUUCUUCCUUUGUCUUUUCCUUAUGGCACGACUGAGCUCGUGUCCGUCUCAGUCUCUGAUUAGCGAGUUCAGUUGCUUGCUGGGCGGUAGAGUCGCUAGACUGACGACUGAGGGCCCUCUCUAUCGCCAGUCGGUAGAGUCACUUGGAUUCUCUCUCACUAGCUUCCCUCUCGCUUGACUCACUCUGAUUCUGCACUUGCCGAGUGAGCAUAGCUUGCAAUCACUCUGAGUCUCGCUAAUUGCUCUGAUCCAUUUGCUUAUUCUUCUCUCCUUUUGCGCUAGACCGAGUUCGUUCAUUCUCAUUCGUAGUAGGGGGCUUCGCUGACAGAGUAUGCUUAUUCUUCUCUCCUUUUGGGCUAGACCGAGUUCGUUCAUUCUCAUUCGUAGUAGUGGGCUUCGCUGACAGAGUGCUAUUCAUUGUCUAGCCUUCGUCAACUUUCAACAAUCUUAUGCUUACGUUGCUAAAGAAGCCUUCAAACCAAUCAAGAGUGAGGCGGACUAGCGACCGACUAGCAACCAAUAAAGUAUCAGAGUGACCGGCAAGCUAGCAACAACGAAUGAAUGAGCGACAGUAACUCGAAAGGCUUUAAGCAUCUUUCAUCUUGCAAGAGCCUACCUCAACCCGAAAGCGAGACAGGUGGCUAGGUAGAGAAUACCUAGUGGCGCGAGAUAACUCUCUCGUUUGAACUCGGCAAUUUAUCCUGGCUGAAAGGGAACUCUUUGUAGUUGGGGGUGGUAGGUGACAGAACUCCGUUUGUGAUCCAAGCCCUGGAAUUACUUAAGACUCGUAUAAGCAGAGUCUAUAAGUAGACAAAGAUAAGAUAAUAAGCAUCUUGCUUGCUUUUCAAAGCGACGUCGUGCCUACUUGUGAAGAGUCAUCAGCAAGAUUCGUCUGUGUGCCACACAUAGGAUCUGAAGACUGAGCUCACUUCUUAUCUUACGUGAUUGACGGUGACACCUCCUAAACUUCCUGUGCUUGGAUCCACAGCGUGGUAUCUUCCACCCUUCAUUAAUGCUAAAAAUACGUUGAUGAGAAGGGGGUAUUUGCCGACAAGAAGCCUUUUUUUCAUUUAAAGGAGUCUAGUCUGUACGGAUGCGAAUGACACCUCCAAAACAUCCUGUGCUUGGAUCCACAGCGUGGUAUCUUCCACCCUUCAUUAAUGCUAAAAAUAUGUUGAUGAGAAGGGGAUGUUUGCCGACAAGAAGCCUUUUUUUCAUUUAAAGGAGUCUAGUCUAUACGGAUGCGCUUACCCCUGAUAGUGAUGGAUAUGGAUGAUGAAAGCCCGCCAGCGAAAGCCGAAGCACAGGUUCGCAGACCUCUCUAAAUCCCAAGAAGGGGAUUUACGGUCAACGCUAUCUCACUCAGAGAGCAUGACCCCGUUGACGAAUAGAAUAUCUAAACUGGGGCUGGGGACUUUCAUUUGAUCAAAGGGCUCCUUUCGCCUUUCAGGUCUUUCUCGCGUCUUGCCGAGCAUCUAGGAAUACAUAGAUUCUUUAAUUAGUCAAUCUUGGUACCGGAGCUGAAUCCGCAUUCCCUAAGGAGGCCUGGUCAAUCAGAUGAUUUUGUCUGGUUGAAAGUAGUCAACCGGCUUCUUCAAUCAAGCAGCACUCAAACGAAAGAAUAAGCAAGAGGAAGGAAUUGUCCAUGGGAUGGACAACGAAGUGUAUCGAUCCUCCCAAGCCUCUUCUCUUAUUAGUGGGUGAGGAGCUCUAUAGUCCAGGUGCACUUCUUCGUAGAUUCCCAGUAUCUCUAGGCGUAUCAUCAAUUUUUCCUUCCGGUGAUUCAUCGAUUGUAUCUCUGAGGCCUAUCGCCAGUAUCUCUUACCUGUUCGGGUCAUUCUACCAUUCUUCAAUCUCUAGAUCGAGUUGCUAGCUUCUUCUCUACCAGUCCUGGAUGUAGAUUCUCGACGAAUCAUCGGUAUUUCCUUCGUCAUUUGAUUUGUUCACCGAUGCCAAUUUCUCUCUUGCUACCGAGCUAGAAGUUAAUCGAAGCAUGCUUCAACCAAUCAAAGUUGUUUUUUCUGAUAUCAAUGCUAGCAUCUCUUGUUUGGUGAUCUGUACUGAGGUGUUCGCAAGGAGCUAUGCCCAAGGGGGAGGGUGUCGAGAGCGAGGAAAUCAAAGUUGUUUUUUCUGAUAUCAAUGCUAGCAUCUCUUGUUUGGUGAUCUGUACUGAGGUGUUCGCAAGGCGCUAUGCCCAAGGGGGAGGGUGUCGAGAGUGAGGAUCCAUUUGCUAAUUCUCGAAUGGUUUAGUAACCCGCUCUUGUAGCUCUUGUUCCUAUUUUAUGAAGCUAGGAUUCCUCUUGUUCUUCUCUUGAGCUUGUAAAAGAGCCUCAACCUUGGUAUCGACGAAUCACAACUCUUUCUUUUAGGGUAUUAUCCGCAGGAGAUCUGGUGUUGUAGUUUAUUGUUUGCUGGGCCUAGGAGCCAACCCCGAAGCCAAGGUCGAACGCACGCCUGAAGCGAACCCAAGCUUAAGGAGCUCUGAGCCCCAAGCCAGCACUUGCUACUCUCUUCUUGGUGAUCGAGUUUGGUAGCUCUUCGGUGUAUCGACAUCCCGAUUUCUACUCGAUAGAUCCCGCAAAUACGCUUGCUAAUUUGUCGGUGCCUAUUCUUUGAUUCAAUCUAGUGAUUCACCGCAUUCCCUUUUCUAGUCAGGAGUCUGGGAUGCCCAACUCAAGAGAAGUCCUAAGGUUCUGUUAAAAUAUCCUUAAUAGCAUCUCUUUCUCUAGAAUCCUGGCUUGUAGAUCUUUGGCGAAUCAAUAGGGGUUCUUUCAUAAAUAAGUUUUUCUCCAAACCUUGUUUGUUACUGAGCUGGGUAACUCAAACCCUAUCCCCUUCCUUUCUUAUUAGUAGAUAGAUGUAGAGCUGGAGACUCCCUUGAUAGGGCAUCCCAAUCUGGCUCUCAAUCUAUCGUGUAAGGAACGAAUACCAUAGGCAUAGGGUAAUUGCUCCUUACUUUUAAUUGAGAUAGGGGCUCGUUCGAUGCAAGUAUUUUGUUUCGAUCUCCUCCCUAUCUUCUUUCUAUGAAGAAUUCUCAAAAAAGGAGUCAACCUGUCUAAACUUCUCUACAAAAGUCUUCCCCACGCUAGGAGCCUUAGCAAGAAUGGUUGGAACCGGUCUGACCUAUGAGACUACUCAAAAGGAGGCUUCCUACCAGCACUAGAGUGGGAUAAGUAAACCUUGCCUUAGGUCAAUCCCUUCCCCUACUCGGGCAAGCAACAGACCCUUUUAAACAACCUCUUAUUAUUUGUUCUCUUCCUGCAGCGUUGGCUUCCUUUUACCUAUGAUAUCCCCAAGAGCAAAUUCGAUUGCAGUUGCAUCGGAGCUAGCUUCGAAAGAGAGGAGGCAUCCUUAUCUGAGUCGAUCGUUAGCCUAUUUAUCUUUUUGAUUUAUUCACUUCCUCCAGCAUUGGCCUUCUUACCUAUGAUAUCCCCAAGAGCUAGUUCGAUAGCAGUUGCAUCGGAGCUAGCUUGGAAAAAGAGGAUGCAUCCUUAUCUGAGCCGAUCGUUAGACUAUUUCUUCUUCUCGAGUAGCUUACUCUUGCUCUGUGCGCUAGGGAGUCAGACUAUGCUUAGUUCUCAUUUAUGUUUGCGCUGUGUGAGUUCUAGCUAGGAAGCAAGCGCCGCAAAGGGUUGACAGGGCAGCUCGACUGGUAAAGAAGGAGAUGGUACCGAAGCGGGAGGCUCGUAGACGCUACUAGUGCAAUGACUAGUGUAAUCUCUUUUCUCUAGUGAACUUUUUCUUAUGUAAACCCGGUGUGUUAUAAGUCUUUUAACUAGUCCAAUGGAAAUCUCCUCUAUUGCAGCAAAAGUAAAAAAAGGGUACUCGUGCUGCAGCUUGCUUACCUAAAAUGAAAAUCCUUACUAGCCAAAGUAAGGAACUUUCUUACUGGAGCAUACAUAACGGACAAGGACUUAUAAGACUAUUCUUAGCCUGUUAUUCNNNNNNNNNNNNNNNNNNNNNNNNNNNNNNNNNNNNNNNNNNNNNNNNNNNNNNNNNNNNUUAGCCUGUUAUUCAAGAAUCUUUCCUCAGAAUGGAUGAUGAAUGGAAGCGAGAUUGGAUUGACGUAUAGAAACUACAACUACGGAUUUGAUCCCUUUCUCUUAGGGAAUCUAGACUAGACGAGGGAGAUAUAAAGGUAACGUUGACGCUACGACAAAGAAAGUCAUUCAAUAAGUAAUGAAUGAGCUAAUUUCUUAUUAGAAGCCUAUUUAACUAGACAUGUCUCCUUUACCGGGGGGUUCCCACAGAGAAGUCUUGCUCUGGCUUGCCAAAAGCAUUUAAUAUUGAGAAUCUUGGAUGUAUUACACACUGGUGGAAUUGCGUAAGUAAUAAGGCUCUUAACUAGCUUAGUGAAUCAAUUUAAAAAAUAUUGAGAAUGUUGGAUGUAUUAUACAUUGGAGGAAUUGCGUAACUAAUAAGGCUUUUAACUAGCUUAGUGAAUCAAUUUAAACUAGUAAAUAGAGUAUGUUUUUGUUGACAGUGAGUAAAUGUUUGAUUCAGAGUCAGCGUAUUGGCUGACAAAAAAUGCUUUUCCAUUCAGAAAUCAGAAUCCCAUAUGUGGAGCCUCCCCUUCAUGUCUAUGUAAGGACUGAAGAACGAGUGAAUCUUGUAUUAGGGUUUAUGCCCAUCGCUGAUCAUGUGGUCGGUUUCCCCGCUUUUGAUUCCGACCAUGAUUUACUUAUUAUUCCUCCUCGUCCAUUAAUUCAGCUCCUUAGUUCAAUUAGUCCCUUCCUCAAAACCUAUUUCCGCAAAUGCCACUACUCUUAUUCCGCAAUAUGGGAUUGUUGGUUUGACAUGCCACCCCUUUCAUAUAAUAAAUGGAAUUGCAAUCUCCAUUCUACAGCUGCUCUGAUGUCUCGCCUGCCUGCUUGGUUAUAGGGCUAUAAGUGAGCAGGGCUUUUGAAAAUAGAGAGGUAGAGCAGCUAGGAGCUAAAUAUUAGAAGAGCGCCCUCUCUUUUUCUACAGCUGCUCUGAUGUCUCGCCUGCCUGCUUGGUUAUAGGGCUAUAAGUGAGCAGGGCUUUUGAAAAUAGAGAGGUAGAGUAGCUAGGAGCUAAAUAUUAGAAUAGCGCCCUCUCUUUUCUUCGGGAAAUUGAGUUCGCUGGGCUAGUUCCCUGUCCCCGAUAUGUAACGAAAAGAUUGAUUGGUUUACCACAUUCAUGAAAGCACUUGACUCUCUGGUGGUCCUUUACCUUUCUAAAAGAGAAGAGAAGAGAGGUAGUCGCAGCAGGAGAAGGAGCCCUAAACCCUGAGGAUCACUCGACCCCGACCGGUCAAUCUCCUGUCAUUGCUAUCUCGUGCGCGAAGGGUUGCCCAUGCUCCUAAUUAAGUCCAUCCGGGUCUUCCNNNNNNNNNNNNNNNNNNNNNNNNNNNNNNNNNNNNNNNNNNNNNNNNNNNNNNNNNNNNNNNNNNNNNNNGCAUUCAUGAAAGCACUUGCCUCUCUGGUGGUCCUUUACCUUUCUAAAAGAGAAGAGAAGAGAGGUAGUCGCAGCAGGAGAAGGAGCCCUAAACCCUGAGGAUCACUCGACCCCUACCGGUCAAUCUCCUGCCAUUGCUAUCUCGUGCGCGAAAGGUUGCCCAUGCUCCUAAUUAAGUCCAUCCGGGUCUUCCUUCCAUCUUUAAAUUAAGGUUCAGACUCAAUCGGCUGUCCUCUCCGAUUGGCGAACGUCGAAAGAGAAGGCGUAGGAAGGAACUGAUUGCAUUAGUCUCAGGUCAGGGACAUAGCCAUGUAUUACGAGAUUAGGCCGAUCAGAGAAUGCCAAUUAUUAAUUAAUAAUAAAAGAGGUAUCGAAUCUUUGCUUUAACAACUUUCAAAGUUGCACUAGCAUUAGCAGGAGGAGAAUCAGAUAAUGCCAAUUAUUAAUUAAUAAUAAAAGAGGAAUCGAAUAUUUGCUUUAACAACUUUCAAAGUUGCACUAGCAUUAGCAAGAGGAGGAGCACUAGUAGAAAGAACCUCUCUCAGAUGUCCAUAAAGAUGUUAUUCAAGUUAUUCAAAAGGAAGUCGAUAAAGAUUCAUCCCCUGCUCUUAGUGCUAGCUCUUUAUGUCUGGCACUGAAGAAGAAAGAUCAGAUGCGCCAACUCUGCUCUUUGCAUGUUUUCAUGAAUCAUUGGACAAUGUUGCGACAUGAAUCGAGGCUAGGUACGACCGAUUUCUAUUGAAUUAGCCCCAAUUUCUAUAAUAAUGUUUAUCAGAAUCACUAGUUGUAAUAGAUUCGCAAGGGAGAAGAAGGCUAAGCUACCCCUCCGUUGUCUCGCACACCAAGGCAAAAGAGAUUCAACAGUCGGCUGGGGAACCGGAAUCGAAGCAUACCAAGACUCAGGAUAAGGAAGGGUAAGGCAUCUAAGAAUAAGGCAAGUAGACCCAUACUCAGGCAAGAAAGAAAGUCUCUUACAAAAAAGGCAGGAAGAAGAGGCCCUCGCUCUACAUGAAACCUAAUAGAAUGGGCUACUUCUUAAGGUGGAAUGGACCACUUAUCAUAGAAGAAUCUUUCUUACAUCGAUUACUGACUAUACGGACAAAGUAAGUCAAAGAAAAGCCGAUGCACCUGAUACGACUAAAAAAGAGAGCUAUGGUCCAAAACCCCAAGUAAUUGACCAGGAGAGGAUCAUCAGGAAUGGACUAAGGGCCUACCAACCCUUUCUUAAUCUAAGGCAUCUGCCCUGGCAGAAAAGAAGACGGAAAGAAAGCCGAUUCAUACCUUAGCUUUGAACCAGCUUCUUCAAUCCUGCUACUCUUCUCCCUCUAUAUAGCGCGGGUAGCUUGCUUCCAAGCCACUGGCCGGAACCAGAUAAGGAACAAGAGAGAGAAGCAGCUCAAUUCAAAGGUUAGGCGCGAUAGCCACUCGUGCAGAAGGAGAUGUUUGGGAGAAAAGCCCAGUCUCAUGGUGCUUUUGUUAGGAGUUCCCCCUCUCUAGUAUAUUUUACUGUGGCAACCCUGAUGGAAAAGAUUGUUGGCCCCCUCUCUGCUGGUUCUCUCAGACUAGCAUCAACUGAUGUUAAGGUUAACCCAAUAGUAAGGUUUCAUUACUUCCGAAAUCUGGUAAGAGAUGUGGAGAGGUGUGUGAGCAGAAGGAUUCAUGAUGUACAAAAAAGCCGUUCCAUGUAGGAAUUCAUGUACCAACAAGAGUUUGGUCCUAUAUAUUUAGGGUAUGUUGGACCUUCAUUGCCUGCUGAUCUAUCCAAUGAUUUUCUGAUGGGAUAAUUCUGUUGUUGUGACCACAAUAUCGCAUUACCAUGGCGGCUGCCAAAGUGGUUGAUAGGAACUUAAGACUGAGGCACUCAGAGUUGUUGAUGGUUCAACCUUUACUGUGUCACCGGGCACCAAUCUGCAGGCUACUCUGUUGAUGCUUGGCCGCUAAGUGCUUUAAUAUGCAUUGGUUAUUGCACAGAAGUGCGAUUGCGACUAAUCAGGAGCUUUCGUAUGUAAACAAAAGAGUAGACAUCCCCCUUGAUAACUGAAUGCAAGCGAGGCUGGACCUAGAUUCGCGUAUGUAAGUGAAAAUGAAAAGAAAGGAGUUCCCCUUCCCCUUCUCAUGUCUUGUCUAGAAAGGGGAAGAGGAGCUCAAACAAGGUUCAAAGAUCCCCUCCCCAAAGUAUGGUUCAAAGAAAGCUUUUCGGGUUAGUGAGGAACAUGAUAGUGAAAGAGAGAAGAAAGGAAAUCAGUUUAUGGCGGCUUACCUUCGUACAUUCAAGAACAGUUGUUACUCCUUGGCAUCUAUCAAUGCACCGCUGUCCGAAUCUAAUAUGUUUACAUUCCUUCUUGCUGGCUUGCCUUCGGACUAUGAAAGCUUUGUCACUAUGGCGAAGCUUCAACGACCAAAACCAACUAUGGCUGAGCUUCUGUCUAGCUUGUUGUAACAUGAGUCUUGCCUUCAGCAGAUGCAUCCUAUUACUAUAUUGAAGAUCUUGUAUACUAACCGAGUCUGCACUCGCCCGAGAACACGUACGUCCUCCCUGUAAUUAUCUUGUCUUUGUUAUGGUUUCAGGGCCUACAUUACCCGUAUGGAGACACCAUCAUUCACAAGGCAUGCUUUACAUUGGACCCAAUGUUGAGCUUCUCAUAGCCGGUGAACUAGGCAAGCGACCCUUCAAGGCAGCCAGCCUUUCUGCAAAAUCAAUGUCCGCCUCGCCGCUGCUUUCGGGUGAUUGGAGAAUAGCUGUAAGGAAUACUAAACGAAAGUAUGCAGCGAGGCAAAGCCGAUUGAGAAUAUGACGGUUAGCCCCUCGGCGCUUGGGAUAGCGGUAAGGAAUACUAAAUGAAAGUAUGCAGCGAGGCAAAGCCGAUUGAGAAUAUGACGGUUAGCCCCUCGGCUUUUGGGAGGAAUCCUAUUUAAUAAAGAUUCUUCCUCUAGUCGAAUAGAGUAGUAGUCCAGGCCUCCGAAAUACAAGAUUCUCAUGAGUAAAAUCUUGGUAUCAGAGCUCCUUUUUCGCUCAUAAUUCGUUUCCUCCUUAUACUAGAAUUUGACUUGAAUUCCCCCCGAAAGAGAGAAUGCACUAUAUGCCUUUAAAAUAAAAAGAAGGCUGGAAAAAAGAGAGAGCUCAUUUCUUUUCUAGCUUUUGCGGGAGGAAUAAAAUACAUAUCCUAUACGAAGGCCUAUAUACAAAAAAGCACUUUGCCUAGAAUCCCAAGUUGCCUCCCCUCUCCUCUGAGGCCGAUAGCAUCCGCUUUUGGAGCCCCUCGCCUUUGAGUACGGCAGCAGCCCAGACAUAGACCAAAUUAGGGGCCUAAACUCUUGAGUAGAUUGCCCAUGGAAAGGAGCUUACUCCAAGAUCUUACUCCGCCCGUGUAGGAGUUCGGGAAGGCCAGAAGUAAACAAAGAGCGGUAGAAGAGAAUAAAGUGUUGCGCCCAUUCUUUUCAUUCACAUCUUACUCCGCCCGUGUAGGAGUUCGAGAAGGCCAGAAGUAAACAAAGAGCGGUAGAAGAGAAUAAAGUGUUGCGCCCAUUCUAUUCUUUCAUAGCUGGAGCAAAUGGAAGGAGACGUCGUGCAAGUCGAAGACUUUGAUAGGUGUCGGUAGGCACGCCUCUUAUAAGGGCUCAAUCCUGAUAAUCAAUCCCAAUCGAAUCUAUGGAAGAGAGACCCUCUAUCCUCUUAAUCUUUAGAGUAGAUAUUAUGUAUAGGAUAAUCAGUCAACUGCGUGUGCCCAAGACAAGGCAAGAUGAAUAGGAAUGUUGAAGGGACAUAAGGCUCAGCUAAGGUAAGGAAAGACCCUGACCAUCUAGGUCACCAAGUACUCUUAUUUUUAGGGCAAGAUGAAUAGGAAUGUUGAAGGGACAUAAGGCUCAGCUAAGGUAAGGAAUGACCCUGACCAUCUAGGUCAACAAGUACUCUUAUUUUUUAGGGAGUCGGAGACGAUCGAAGAGGCAGCAAAUAGGAACUUUCGAUAAGGGAGAGCUUAACAAGGUCGAGACCAAGAUGAUGGAUAUUCCAAGGAAGAUCGAAGAAGAUGAAUGAAGGUUUAUACCUACCCCUAACUGGCACUAUGAAUCCAAUCCCAUCUACAUAGAUGUUCCUAGCCACGAGAUGAGGGGGUUCUCUCUUACUGUUAAGCCGUCUUCAACUCUUCUUUCUUUACUCCUUUCCGCAUCGGGGCUGAUAAUUGGAUAGAAUCUCCUUAAAUAAAGAAAGGGGGCGUAUAAAUUGGGUUUUUGGCUCGCAAUAAAGCUAGGGUCCUGAUCGAGCAACUAGUAGUCCUAUCUAUCCGAAAAGGGGCAUAUAAAUUGGGUUUUUGGCUCGCAAUAAAGCUAGGGUCCUGAUCGAGCAACUAGUAGUCUUAUCUAUCCACCUCUCCAGACAUAAUAUCUUGAUUACCUAUGAUGGUGACCACAUCUGCUGGCAUGUGAUGUUUGGAGAUAGAAUCGAGUCCUUGUGAAUGGGCAAAGCCAGGUGCUCUUAUUUUACAACGGUAGGGAUGAUUUUUUCCAUUACUGACUAGAAAGACACAAAAUUCUCCUUUAGGUGCUUCAACUGCGGUAUAGGUAGAAGGAGCUGGUAUGGAAAAACCUUCUGUAUAAGGUUCCAAAUGGUAAAUUGAGGUAGAGUAGACCGAUGAUCCUGUAGUCAUUUUGCCAGCUAUUGAAAGAAAAAGCUUGCAUCUGCAUCCCCUAUUAUAUAACCGGUCCUAUCUCUCUUCAAACCUAACGUCUUAGUUUCCCAUCAUAGGGCUUCCUAUCAAUAGAUUAAGCCAUUACCAAGGAGCUACUUCAUUCAGAACUCAGUUGACUGCUUCUAUAGAGAAGGCGGAGCGUCCUUGGCUCAGCAUUAUAGCACAUAGGGCUUCGGCGCUACUACAGCGCUUCGCUAACUCGAAGCGCCUCGCUAUGAGAAUCUAGCUUCGCUAACCCUCGACUAAGUCUUGAACCUUUGCGCUGACCGUUCGCUUUCUCAGUAGCAAAAGCGCUUCUCUUUGCCCCGUAACCUUUAGAAGGACAAGAAAGAGAUUAUUGGUUUUCUUGCUCCCGCUUCCUCAUCUGCGCUCAUCAAGCCAACUUCGCUCUUUGGGAGGUGAAACAGCGGUUGAAGCGGACAUUUAGAAAUGACAACAUCGAAGAUAUAUUUCUAUAUAUACACGAUUACGGUUAUCUCGGACUGCAUUCCGGAAAAAGUAGCCUACUUGUGGGGCACUGUGUACUUACAGCCUCUACGAUAAGCAAGUGAAUGUGGUCGGUGUGUGGCGAACGUUCAUCAAGCCAUUUUUCGCCUCAACUCCAUAAAUAGGAAGAGGGGUAGUUUACAAAUUGGGGUAGUCAAUUCGCACCUGACUGUGAUAGCCCUCUCGAUACCUUAUUGGAGAUUUGUAACUAGUGGCCGAUUUCCCGUCGUGUCAGCCUUUUCCCAGUGCACGGAGCCCCAAUGAGGAAGGUGUUAGUGCUUUAUCAUUGGGUCAAUAAUGCUAAUCCCUCUUUUUGUGCUACUCCUAGGGCGGGAAGAAGAUAAGAAAACGCGAAGCGUUCUCUUGCUUUCCCAACCUGUUGUUUCUAAAGACUGCCCUCUCUCGGCUGGAUCUUGGUCCAGCCUACUACGAGGAUCCCGUAUCCAGCAACUUCUUUCCCAACCUAUUGUUUCUAAAGACUGCCCUUUCUCGGCUGGAUCUUGGUCCAGCCUACUACGAGGAUCCCGUAUCCAGCGACCCAACAUAUAAAAAGGGCAUCAAAGCCUCUUAACUAGGUUGGAGCUAUAAAGCUUACCUUAUAUUAUUGAAAAGGAAAAGGGCCUUCUCAGCUGGUAUGAAGGAGCGCACUUCCAUUUUCCCUUUACUAGUAGGGGGUUCCGUGGUUUCUAUGCCACCGCGUUUCCCGGUCCUUAUCUAUUAGUGCUUCGACCCGAAGCGAUAGCUUCUAGCUAGUUCAGUAGAUAAGAUGGCUCCGCUCCAGCUCACUCAAGAAUGGGACGGUAGUGGUCCGCCAGCAAGCUCGUUCUGAUCUUGGACGCAGUACAUUGGAAUCCCGAAGCACCACCACGAAUGCUAGCGCGCAUCCGCCUGCGGUGCGGUAAGGCACCACCCUGUUGUGCCACCAGCCAACUCCGGCGUGUCAGCUUAGUUAUCCUCAUCAAACCACAUACUUAAUGUCUAGCUUCCCAACUGGCACACGUUUCCUUUUCCCCCAAAUCAAUGAAGAAGGGAGACGUAAGUUGAUUCUUCCAUAGAAUCGGAAGCGAAUCGCUAUGCCGGGGGGGGGGGACAGAAAAAAAAACGGCUUCAAAGAAAAAAAUUGGGGUUCCAAUGCUUCUCCACGCUCAACGAGAUGUGCCAACCUCGGGAUGCUAUACUCCUAACCCCACAAGGUUCCGAGACGGAGCUUAACCUGAGUCUCGGUUAAGAACGGCAAUGAUAUACGUUUCACAUAGCGCACGAUUCCAUGGAUAGUUUCAUUCGAGAUCGUGAUGGAGGACAUGGCUUACGAUCAUCGGCUUUGAUCAAGCCACUAAGCAUUUGAUUAAGACAUUGCACAAUGAUCCGAACACUUUGUUGCUUCUCUUCGAUACGAAUACAGUAACGAUCAUAGCAAUAUCCUCUGGUACCUACUGGAAUGUCAGGAUCCAAUUGGUCAUGAACAUCGUAAGAUGCUGCUUUUCGCAAAUCCCAGCAUACCCCAGAACCUCUUAGCAUUACACCACUGAAUCCUCAAUCCUUUUCUUGCUGUGCAUUGACAGUACCAAUAUCCACUAUUUGUUGUUUCCAGAUAUGGUUUUCGGUUGACAUCUCUUCUAAUUCGUCGAUACGAGAAGCAAAUUGUUGUGUGAAUGAAUCAAUAUCUAUACAUAAGCCAAGAGGCAGAGCGGACUUUCCCUCAGGAAUGUUUAUCAUGGAGGCCAGUGUUGCGAAUGCAUCCGCGAACUUAUUUUUUCUCUGAAAGGUGAGAGAAACUGAUUUUCUUGAAUUGCUCAGUGAGCUUUUCAAGAUAAGCAUGGUAUGUCAAAAAAAUUUCAUAUUUUGUUUUCAAUUUCUUUGGGGUUUGGCAGAUGAUAAGCGUCGAAUCCCUAAAUACUUCGAUAUCUUAUAUUCCCAUGGUCAAGGCAGUCUUUAAUCCAUGGAUACAUACUUCAUCUUCUGUGGUAUUCUUGAGUUUUGGCAGAUGAUAAGCGUCGAAUCCCUAUAUACUUUGAUUUCUUAUAUUACCAGGGUCAAGGCAGUCUUUAAUCCAUAGAUACAUACUUCAUCUUCUGUGGUAUACUUAGUUCCUUAAAAGUUCCGCUUACUGGCAAUGGGGGUGUGCGAUUCAUCAGGUGCAAUCAGCAAUGCCCCUACUCCGUACCCAUUUUGAUUAGUCGUGCCAUCAAAGUCAAAUUUCCAUGCCCUCCUCUUCUGUGACAGCUAUUUCCUCGUCUGGGAAGCAAUCCUUAAACUCAUGUUCCUCCUUGAUAGGGUGCAAGGUGUUCUGCUAUCGCCCUUCCUUUUUUAUCCGUAAACUCAUAUUCCUCCUUGAUAGGCUGCAAGGUGUUCUGCUUUCGCCCUUCCUUUUUGGUUACAUACGUGAUGUCGAAUUCAGACAGAAGCAGUAACAAUCUUGCGGUCCUUCCGGUUACGUUAAGGCAGGUUUCUCAAAUAAAUACUUUUUUUGUAGGUCCAUGGAAGCUAUUCAAUGUGCUACUGUGUAAGACAGCAUGUAAUGCCUCAAUUUCCACCAUACCCAAACCAAAGCCAAGCAGGUUUUCUCCAAAUUGGUAUACCUGGUCUUGUAGUCAGUCAUUUUCUUACGUUGGUAGUAUAUGGCCCUUUACUUCCGUCUGUCUUCAUCGUAUUAAGCCAACAUAGACCCCAUAGUGGUUUCGGUGACUGAUAGGUAUAGUAAUAAAGGCUUCCUGGCGUUGUAGGCACUAGAAUGGAAUAGUGGCCCUUUACUUCCGUCUGUCUUCAUCAUAUUAAGCCAACAUAGACCCCAUAGUGGUUUCGGUGACUGAUAGGUAUAGUAAUAAAGGCUUUCUGGCGUUGUAGGCACUAGAAUGGAGUCCUUUAUUUUGUCAAAAGCUUUCUGGCGGACUUCAUCCCAUUUUCCUGCUAAAAUUUGUGUAUUGACUCGCAAGUGGUUAUACAAGAGAAAGUCAAAGUCUGAUGGGACUAUUGAUCGCUACAAGGCUNNNNNNNNNNNNNNNNNNNNNNNNNNNNNNNNNNNNNNNNNNNNNNNNNNNNNNNNNNNNNNNNNNNNNNNNNNNNNNNNNNNNNNNNNNNNNNNNNNNNNNNNNNNNNNNNNNNNNNNNNNNNNNNNNNNNNNNNNNNNNAUCCAGUUAUCAAGAUGGCAUCAAGGGCGAUUAGGUGUGACUUGCAUGAUAAGGGAAAGAGAAGACGUCCCUCAAAGCCCCAUUAACGCAAAAGAAGUCAAUUCCUACGUUUUUAAAUUACCAGAAGUUCUUAGCUACUCGGCUAUACUAUAGGCUCAAAAGGCUUCCUGGCGUUGUAGGCUCUAGAAUGGAGUCCUUUAUUUUGUCAAAAGCUUUCAGGCGGGCUUCAUCCCAUUUUCGUGCUAAAUUUUGAUUUAUAAAUUUGUGUUUCGGCUCGCAAGUGGUUAUACAAGAGAAAGUCAAAGUCUGAUGGGACUAUUGAUCGGUACAAGGCUCGCGUGUUAGCCAAAGUCUACAACCAGCAAUAGGGUAUAGAUUAUGAUGAGACAUUCAGUGCAGUUAUCAAGAUAGCAUCAAGGGCGCUUAGGUGUGACUUGCUUGGUAAUGGAAAGAGAAGACGUCCCUCAAAGCCCUAUUAACGCAAAAGAAGUCGAUUCCUACAUUUUUAAAUUACCAGAAGCUCUUAGCUACUCAGCUAUACUAUAGUCUCUAAAGGCAUUACUUGACUGAAAGAGCGCUUAUAUUAUGGGGGCUUCCCUUUCGAACAUCUGACUUAUAUACAGGUCAUCGACUUAAGAAGCACAAAAAAAAAGUAGCUACCUCGGGAAAGGGAUGAGAGUAGUCUUUUUCCAAUAGGCUAGCUGCCUAUUGCAGGAGUUCCUGACCUGAAAGGACACCAGCAAGCUGCUACUGAAUGUGAACAAAGUCAAGGAGAUGGCGAUUGACAUUGAAUUCCCUCUUCUGGUUUUAAUAUGAAUUGACUCUGGUUUGGUCACUAGCUCCGUACAUCCCUAUGCAACUUCUCUCGUCACUAGUCACUAUGGCCAAAGGUUAGCAAGCCUGCUCCCAGGUCAGUAGCGAGGUCAGCUCCAUCUCCCCUUUCCUUUGUCUUUGUCUACCGUUCAUCCUUGACCUUCUUUAAGAACUCGUUAACAUCGGAACAGCCACCAUGAAGGUCACUCAAAGUAACCUACUCGAGCUUCGUCCUUUGUAUUGUACCGCCUGGAAAGAGGUUCGCUGGCCUUUUUCUUUCCCCGCACCUAAAAGUUGCCUUAGUUCCCUUUUUUUUUAAAAAGACCUAAGCUUGAAGUCAAGGCUUCUAUGCUGCUCGAUCUUUCUUGAUGAAGAGAAUGGCAUACUUAGGUCUCAGGAUGAGAUUCUGAAAGAGUAACCGCAAUAUCAGAAGAAAUUCUUCCUUGAUUCCUUUGACCUGAGACUGCUACUUGUAUUUCCUUUACUACUCUUUCUCUCUCCUCAGUUACUUCUUGAGCCAACAAAGUUUUUGCUAGUCUUUCCUUGCUACUUUGAAUCAACCAGAAAAGGAGGAUUGAGCAGUGGCUUGGGAAAUAAGACAACACUUGAUGGGAAUUGAGUAGUAGUAAGGAAUGAUAAAGAGUGAAAUUCAGUCACCCUCUCCGCUUUCUUUUCUUGAGAAGAAUGCUCUGGUCUGGCAUAAAUGCCACUAGGUCAUCUAUGAUUUGCAUCUGCACGAAUGAAAGACAGAAGAGUGGAAAACUAAAAAGAAAGCUAGGGCGUCCGAUGGAUAAAGUCUACCUUUGUGAUGUCAGGCUGAAAAGGGGGGAUAGCACUAGAGAGUCGGGAACUUUCACUGCAACUGAUGAGGCUCACACCUUACAUCAAACUAACCUAUCAACAGAAAGAAUCGAGGUUGAUUUCUUUGUUAUUGGGAAUGCAGUUGAAAUAGAGAUUCGCUUGAAAAGAGAGCAGUACUACAAGAAAGCUGUAAGAUAGAAAUAAGUCGAUUCCUGCCAUUCCGGAAAUCAGAGUUUAGAAGUCUUUCAUCCGGGAGACAUAACUCCUCAGCGCAUACAUACACAGAUCAUGUGAUUUGAUUUGUACUAGAGACGGGAAGAACCAGAGGAAGACUCCAUAGCUGAUAGAACCAAGGUCUGGACUGACGAGAAAGUGAAAAGUGAUCUGCACUGUAGCUUCUCCCAUUCCAUUCCUUAUUGUUGCUUUUAGUGCUUAGAUAAGUUUGUUUUUUUUGUAGCACGGGGGGAUAGAAAGUGCUUUUUCCAGCAGUAGGGUAGCGAGAGAUUCUUUCUCUUUAGUAGAGCCAAGACUGUACGAGGAGAGAAAGACUUAAGUCGACUCAAGUGGAAAUAAUCAGACUGCUUCCAUUCGUUAUCUCAGGUUACCCCUUAGUGCGGGUAUGGGGCACUUCGUCAGCAGUGGUUCGUUUAGCAAGCAGUCUUUUUGCUUGAAAGCACACACAGCACACAGUAGGAGAGUUCGAGUGUGAAAGCAGUGUACACAUGCCCUUGAGAUAAGGUAUGAUUUUAGUGCCUUAUCUAACUAUAAGAGCAGGAGCAGGAAGCACUUACUUUCUUUAAGACGCUAACUUCCACAGCAACUAAGAAUUAUCUCAGGUUUUCCGUUAGUGCGCUCCGGAAAGAAGGAGCAAAGGUGAAAAAGCUCAAGUGAUUUUCCCUUGACUACUUUCUGGCCAGGGAAAAUAACUGCAUAUCUAGGGAAUAUAACUCCAUAAGAGCGAGAAAGUACGGGGAUAGAAAGAAUCACACGAUUCCCUAAUGUGAUGGAUGCAAAAAUAGGAUAGGAGUACACGAGUUCGCAACUGGACUUUUCUCUGACUAGAAGAGCUGCGCCUAAGACUCUGAAGCGAAGGGAGGUGGUCCCGAGCCUUGCCUAUAUGGCUAUAUAGCGCAAGCGUUGUCUUCAAGUCACAUCAGUGCAGGCGUAGCGUAGCGUCAUGGUAGCAUUAGCUAUGCUCGACUAAUAUUAUGGCUAUAUAGCAUCAGCGUUGUUUGAAAGUCACGUCAGUGCAGGCGCAGUGUAGCGUCAUGGUAGCGUUAGCUAUGCUCGACUAACAGGAUGAGUCAUGUGAUUGACUUGACAUUUUAUUGAGAUGAUCUUCGAGCUGCUGCACCGACAACGUGUUUUUCUGCUUGUUUUGGAAGCUUGAAACGACAGACAAGUGGUGAUUAUGAGAUGGCCUUGCUACUGAGCUUCUUGUCUUCCAUCUUUCUUUAUUGUGGGGUCCGCGGAACAAGAACAAGAGCGCUUCCUCUUUCUUUUUCUUUUACACCAUGAGACCAGAAAUCAACGCUUUCGCACGAAGUCCUUGUCGCUGUGGAAAACUGGUACUUUCCUAUAGUUGAUCAAGGCUGCUUGAACUUUCAAACCUAGUCAGGUCUUGGAAUCGGGCUAGGAGCAACUAUUGAAUCUGGUGAAGGGGGUGUGAUAAUGCCAGUCGAAAGGGAAAGAAAGGGUGUGACUUUGGUUAGGCAAUUGUUGCAGUUUCUCAUUCCGCAGAUCAUCCAAUCCUUCUUCUUGAGCCUUUUAGAGGGCUUUUGGAUAGUUCGGUACCGGCUAUCGGUAAAGGAAGCAUAUGCCUCUAACUAAGUUCAUUCCCUAUAUGGUAAUGGUAGGUACGCCGGUACCCCUUUUUUGGUAUCGAAAUGUAGAGCAGCGAAUCAAGAGUCUCUCACUCUCUUCCCAUUCCUUAUUCUACGGCGGAUCUUCUUGAAUCCAAAGCCGGUGCAAACGAUCUCAUUGUAGAUCAUAGGAAAUCACUCGAGAUAGGAAAUCAUUAAGAAAGAAAAAGCUUUGAAAGGGUACGUCCCCUAUCGCCUUUCAUUCGAAAAGGAAUUAUCUACACUGGCUUCAGUUAGCCUUGAAGUACGCUGAUACCCCAGUUGUCUAUAAAUCGUCACAAUAAAGUGUGACAACCUUAAAUUCUCUCUGUACUUUGUUUCAAAUAAGCGCCUUGAAGCUAGCUAAUCCAACUAGCAAGCCAUAAAAGAAAGGGGAAAAUUAGUAAAGGUGACCUGCGCAAAACUAACUCUUCUAAAACCUGAAAUGGGGAAGGAGAAAGAUAGGAAGGACUAGCUAUUCGAUUGAUUUACUUUUUAUUACCCCGUCUGCUCUCUUGUUCAUAUAUUGGUUUUUAGAUUUGAUUCCCCGUAUGCUCUAGUAUAGAGAAAGGUAGACUUCUUUUCUCUAUACUAGUAAGAGAGAUUGAACCUGCAAGCGCUAACCUAACAGAAAAAAACCUCCUCUAGGGAAAUGGCCCCGAUGCGUGUAAUAGAGAAUAGGCAUGCUUGGCUUACUUGAAUCUGCGUUGGGGAUGGGAUUGCCUACCUGUCUAGUUAGCUUGAAUGAAAGCGUAAGGCAAGCCCAAGGGCUAGUAGUAAGUUGGAUGGGAUUGCCUAUCUGUCUAGUUAGCUUGAACGAAAGCGUAAGGCAAGCCCAAGGGCUAGUAGUAAGGCAUUGGGAAUCGUAGACCACUAAGGAGAGAGGCCAGUCUUCCUACUCAGCAUAGGACUUAGCUGGGAAGAGGCAAGCCCAAGGGCUAGUAGUAAGGCAUUGGGGAUCGUAGACCACUAAGGAGAGAGGCCAGUCUUCCUACUCAGCAUCGGACUUAGCUGGGAAGAGACUUUCUUCUUCUCCCACUGUCGAUCUGGGAGCAGCCUUGUCUUUUCCUUUGUACUAUUUUUAGUUGAUAAAGAAUAUGCUCUGGAAGCGGAGCCGUUGGUAGGGAAGGCUAGCACACAUCAUUUCCCUAAGAAUAAGUGAGUCUCACGACGAGUCUAGCUCGUAGUGACCCUAAGACUGUGUUAUGGCCAACUAGGAAUGCCUUCCAAGUCAAUAGUCUUAUAAAAGUAGUAAUGCCGCAUUCCCUCUUCAGUUAUCGUGAAAUUUCUCAGGGCUCUUCUCUAUGAAGAAUGCCUCCUCGUUCUUCGUCCAUUCCCGUUCGAUGGAGAAAGAACUUCUUUCGGGUGUUCGGUCAGGCUUUCUUAGGUCGAGCAAGCAACUGAUGAAAUUUCGUAUACAUGUUUUCAGUAUUAGAAAGGUCUGGGUGAUUGCAGUAUAUUUUUGGCCUGUAGUUAGCUCCGCUUAAGGUAGUGAAGUGAGCCAUUAGCUCAGAUUCCGCAUCUAAAUCAUUAGCUCAGCUAAGGAAUCAAGCACCCAAUCCGAUAAGAGCAUCAAAUACGAAUCGUGAAGUGAGCCAUUAGCUCAGAUUCCGCAUCUAAAUCAUUAGCUCAGCUAAGGAAUCAAGCACCAAAUCUGAUAAGAGCAUCAAAUACGAAUCAUGUCCGAGACGGGAGAAAUAGCAUAGUAGUAAAGAAAGCGCAUAAACCCAUUCCUUCGCAAAUGGCACCAUAGCCAACACUCUAUCUAAAAACCAUUCUUUCUUUCAGGCUGGUAGGGGAACCUUCCGCAUGAAAGCGAAAGGAAGCGACCGAUCAAGAAAUGCAAAGACAAGGGGAAUGGUUAGUGAUGUCGGCAUAGGACACAGAAAGUUCCUUGUCUCUCUUUUGAAUCCCAAGGAUUGUCUCAGGGAAGAGGCCAGUCCCUAAAAAAGCCAUCUCGAUUGGUAUCACCCAAAUGAGAGGCUUUUCUCCGUUGACGGUCAUCUUACCUAUCUCCUACGCUACGCUCUCAACUGGAUCAAUCGCUUUAUCCUGAUUUAUUGAACAGGUGCCCUGUGGAACAUGUUUUAUGGAAUUUAACUCUUAUGUAAUAGUUCUUUUCUUACUGAUUGAAUUCAGAUAGAGAGAGGAAUAUUCAAUCAAAACCCUUAGUCCGAUAGGGGGAUAGUAUACGUUCAAUCCGGAUAAGACACUGAGAUGAAAGUUGAAUGAAGCAAGAAAGGCAGAAAGGGGGCCGCUUUCUCCAGUGGUAGUUCUUUUUUGGGAUUAGUCUGACCGUCCUCAUUCUAGGUUGUAGGCGUGAGAAUAAGAGGGUAGUCAGCGAAAUUAUAUGAUUGAAUGGGACUUCAGCUUAGACAAUCGUAUCCUCCCUCCAGCAAAUAAGGUGGAGUGGGCAAGGCAGAGAAGACAUGAAAACACAAGCUCAAACUUCAGCAUUUCCAUUACCUGCGGAAGUAAAGGAAGCAUUUCCAGUGAAUAAGAACUAGAAUUUCCAUUGGGUCGGGAGCUAAGAGAGAUUGGAAAGGUUUAAAUAAGAGUGUGCCUAGCGUCUUUCGCUCUCUCUUAUUAGAAGAAGGAAGGGGCGCGACCCCACUCAGCUCGAAGAAGUAGAAGGUUUAAAUAAGAGUGUGCCUAGCAUUUUUCACUCUCUCUUAUUAGAAGAAGGAAGGGGCGCGACCCCACUCAGCUCGAAGGAGUAGCUCUUUCAACUAAUCAAAACUUUUCAUUCCUUCUCCUCGCUACUGUAAAAAUGUUGAAUUACUUUUUUUACACUGGCGCAGAUGAUUUCCCCUAAGGCACCGAUAGUCCAACGCCUUCGUAUGUAUAUCACCUGAAUUUCUUGAUUCACGGCGUCGAGUAUUUGCACUUUAGAUCUCAUGACUCGACAUGUAGACGGUGAUACGCCACCUUUGGCGACGUGAUCUUUUCUUAUUCACUUGUGAUGGUGGCGGAGAGGUCGACGCCUGUGUUUUGGCUCUGGGGGGGGGGGGGGAUACCGCCACCUUUGGCGACGUGAUCUUUUCUUAUUCACUUGUGCUGGUGGCGGAGAGGUCGGCGCCUGUGUUCUGGCUCUGGGGGGGUGGGUCUUCCCUUUCUCAAUUAUGACGUACUCGGUUAGGUUGCCAUCUAGGUCUCGGUCGGGGGCGACUUCCAAAUUAUGGUCUCAUUCUUCCUUUCCCUUGAUUCACGAUCCUUGCAGCUUAAUUAAUCCCCCAUGUGUCGGGACCUGAACUGUGGUGGUGCUCUUCUACAGCUUCUUCUACAUAUGCUCCAUAACUUCUGCAAUUGAAAAAGGAAGCUUUUCCAAGCCCGAACAAGAUCAAAAGAACUGAUCGCUUUCUACAAUAACAAAAUAGUUAUCUACUAGCCAUGUUUUCUUUCUGUGAUAAUGCCGUAGCGUAGGAUCCAAGCCCGAACAAGAUCAAAAGAACUGAUCGCUUUCUACAAUAACAAAAUAGUUAUCUACUAGCCACGUUUUCUUUUUGUGAUAAUGUCGUAGCAUAGGACUCCAGGAAUUUUGGAAGCUGAACAUGCUCAAAAGAUGCCUAAAGCUUUUAGCUUUGAUCAUUCGACGCCGAGUGAAACAAUUCCUCGCUAAAUAAAACCAAAGUUCCACUACAACUAAGGAAAGAGAUAGAUCACAUCGUGGCAAAAUGCCAAUCCUCCUAGUUUGAAAGAGAAAAAGAGUGGAGAUGUGCGAAAAAAGAUCACUCCUAACUAACCAGUCAAGUGAAAGGAGCCCGCUUACCCACUCCCCUUUCCCCCCAUUGCUAGGAGCCUCGCCCUCUUGACUUGACUCCUAACUAACCAAUCAAGUGAA